rnacentral:piRNA from 1 species
UNUGAUGCUUUUAUUGGGUAUGAGGUGAG